ACACCCAGAACCCAAGUGCCUGAGACAGGACCCCAGCGACUCCACCAUGGACUUGGUGCCAAGCUGCGUUUUCCUCCUGAUCAUUUUUCAAGGUGUCGAGUGUGAGGUGCAGCUGGUGGAGUCUGGGGGAGGCUUGGUGCAGCCUGGGGGGUCUCUGAGACUCUCCUGUGCAGCCUCUGGAUUCACCUUUAGUGACUAUGAAAAGAACUGGCUCCGCCAGGCUUACAUUAAUCCUGACGGAAGUAGCACAUAUUAUGCCACUUCUGUGAAGGGCCGUUUCACCAUCUCCAGAGACAACGCCAAGAACACGCUGUUUCUGCAGAUGAACAGCCUGAGACCUGAGGACACAGUGGUGUAUUACUGUACAGCAGACACACAGUGA